AGAAUCAACGCUGGCGGCGUGCCUAACACAUGCAAGUCGAACGCGAAAGGGGCUUCGGCCCUGAGUAGAGUGGCGAACGGGUGAGUAACACGUGGGUGAUCUACCUCUGAGUGGGGGAUAACGUUCCGAAAGGAACGCUAAUACCGCAUGACGUUCCGGGUUUGGAGACCUGGAAACCAAAGCCGGGGACCGCAAGGCCUGGUGCUUGGAGAGGAGCCCGCGCCUGAAUUAGCUAGUUGGUGAGGUAAUGGCUCACCAAGGCAACGAUCAGUA
rnacentral:rRNA from 1 species